CAGGGAUUAACAUGGCACAAGUGCAAAAAUGGCGGGUAUAGAAAUCCCACAAACUGCGAACAAUGUAAAUGCCCGGAUGGUUGGAUUGGUUAGUAUUGUCAGUAUCCAAAGGGUCCAGAUAUUACAUUUGCCGUGAAUCUUCCGAAACUUUUUAUUGACAUACUUACUUCUGGAUGUGGAAAUAAAUACCAAUUUGCGGAAGCAAACCACAGAUUCAUCACUUCACCAGGGUACUCUUACCCAGGAUAUUACACAACGGAUUCGGAAUGUACCUGGAAGAUUGAGGCACCAGUUGGUAGGCGUGUCCAGCUUGAAUUUGUCGGUACUUUCGAUAUCACCUGUCACGCAAGGUGUUUAGAUUUUGUAGAAGUCCGUUUCAAAAGUCUCUCUGCCACGGGUCCAAGGUUCUGUUGUAGAAGAUGGACUAUGGACAGAUUUACUUCCGAUGGACGAGUUAUGUUGGUCCUAUUUAGGACAAACUCCUAUAACACAGCAAAGGGCUUCAAAGCCAGAUACAAAUACGUUUAAGCAAAACGGAAACAAUUUUUUCUAUCAGUUAUUCAUAUCAUAUUAUGUCAAUUCAACAUAUUCCUGUAUAAUUAGUAAAAAGUAUUGAAAUAAAAUCUAUUUAAACUUGAUGGUCUCGUUGACCA